rnacentral:rRNA from 1 species
UACGUAGGGCGCAAGCGUUGUCCGGAAUUAUUGGGCGUAAAGAGCUCGUAGGCGGCUUGUCGCGUCGGAUGUGAAAGCCCGGGGCUUAACUCCGGGUCUGCAUUCGAUACGGGCAGGCUAGAGUUCGGUAGGGGAGAUCGGAAUUCCUGGUGUAGCGGUGAAAUGCGCAGAUAUCAGGAGGAACACCGGUGGCGAAGGCGGGUCUCUGGGCCGUAACUGACGCUGAGGAGCGAAAGCGUGGGGAGCGAACAGG